UCCCUGGUAGCUCAGUGGUAAAGAAUCUGCCCGCCAAUGCAAGAGGUGCAGAAGACACAGGUUCGAUCCCUGGUUGGGGAA
rnacentral:tRNA from 1 species